GCUUCUAAUAAGACGUUUAUUUUUUUAAGUGGGUGCGGGGUGCUGCCGUCGGGGGGAGGAGGGCAGACGGACAGAAAGGUGGACACGAUUUGGGGGUGUCGAGGGAAUUAACUGAGGGCGAGGGCAGGCGGAGGGGAAGGAAGGCAGGAGAGGGAGGAGCGCCAGAGUCGGUCCGCGGGGCUGGGAGCCGGGUUAGGGUUAGGGGGCGGAGGAUCCCGCUUCCCAGCAGCAGAGGGCGCCCCUCUCUCCCGUGUCCAGCCGGCUGGGGUUGGGGAGAGGAGAGGCUGCUAAGGCACGAGCGGCUCCUGCCACGUAUUCCUCCCGGCCGCGGCGGUGAGGCAGGAAGCCGAGGUCAGUGGGUCAGAGAAGAAGAACUCUGGUCUGUCUAGAAUCUCCUGGGUUUUCUGGCUGGUGUUCACCCAGAAAGCGGCAAGUCCUAAAGCGAAGGAGCGAGACCAUUCUCAACAGCCCUCUCUGGGAAAGCUUUCCGGGGUCCUCUGGAAAGGAUGAGGCAGCUCAAAGGGAAACCCAAAAAGGAGACUUCCAGAGAUAAGAAGGAGCGCAAGCAAGCCAUGCAGGAAGCCCGGCAGCAGAUCACCACCGUCGUGCUGCCCACGCUGGCUGUGGUGGUGGU
rnacentral:lncRNA from 1 species